rnacentral:rRNA from 1 species
CCUACGGGAGGCAGCAGUGGGGAAUAUUGCGCAAUGGGGGAAAGCCUGAAGCAGCGACGCCGCGUGAGGGAUGAAGGUCUUAGGAUCGUAAACCUCUGUCAGCAGGGAAGAACGGUACGGGGGCUAACCAGCAGUGAAUGGACGGUACCGGCAAAGGAAGCACGGGCUAACGCCGGGCCAGCAGCCGCGGUCAUACGGAGGGGGCGAGCGUGAAUCGGAAUGACUGGGCGUAAAGCGUGCGUAGGCGGUAUGUCAAGCCAGGGGUGAAAUCCGCGCGCUGAACGUGGGAACUGCCUUUGAAACUGUCACUCUGGAGUGUGUGAGAGGUUAGUGGAAUUCCUGGUGU